UACGAAGGGGGCUAGCGUUGCUCGGAAUCACUGGGCGUAAAGGGCGCGUAGGCGGCCGAUCAAGUCAGAGGUGAAAGCCCCAGGCUCAACCUGGGAAUUGCCUUUGAUACUGGUUGGCUAGAGACCGGAAGAGGUUAGUGGAACUGCGAGUGUAGAGGUGAAAUUCGUAGAUAUUCGCAAGAACACCAGUGGCGAAGGCGGCUAACUGGUCCGGUUCUGACGCUGAGGCGCGAAAGCGUGGGGAGCAAACAGG
rnacentral:rRNA from 1 species